rnacentral:lncRNA from 1 species
CAAGGAGAUGUGGAGGAGUAUAUUUAGUUUCCUCCGCUAUUAAUAGGGUUCACGGCGUGUGAACCUAUACUUUGGUUAAUUCAUCGAUACUGCAUUCUGAUCAAAUGUGGUACUGUGAUGAUAAUCUUUAUGGGAGGAAGGAGACGUCCUUCCGUUAUGACCAUAUUGUCAUCAUGGAACUUUCGUUCUGAUGGAUUUUCUCUGUAUGGGUGAGCCUUUCUAAGUUUUAUCUUUUAAACGGCAUUGCCUUGUCUCCUAAGAUGGAUAAGUCCUUCUUGUGAUGCACCGUUAGCUUGUGAUGCACCGUUAGGGUGCACACUCAUGUGAAGGGUUUGGAACACCUCAAACCUGGAUGGAUGCAAGCAUCACCCUUUGGUAAGGUGGUGUUUUCAUUUGUGCGUUACUUGAAGGUCUGUCGGAAAUUCUCAUGCUCUAGCACUUUGUUUGCGUUAAAAGGGGUGAGUUUUAUUUGAAGUUAAGAAAGAAAAGGAAUAAACAAUUCUGGUCACAAUACUAUUACCGUGACACCUUCUUUUCUUCUUUUAGAAUUCACCUCCUUUUAGUGCAAUCCUAGUGUUCGGGGUGAGGGUUAAAGACUAGAUCCACGGAGCACUGUGCUCCUAGGGAAUUCUAGAAAUUAACUACUUCUAGAACGGAACACAUAAGACUAUGUAUACAAUACAAGGAAAGGAAAAAGGUCUCUUAGGGGUACCACAAAGAAAAGAAUCAAAAUAGCUAAAAAGAGUCUGCUUCCUUUAUCAUAUAUAUGAGAUAGUAGAUCACCUUUUUUUUUUGAAGCAAAAAAAAAGGUGAUCUACUGUUGUAGUCUUCUUGACAUAUCAAGUCAAGAGGGCGAGGCUCCUAGCAAUGGGGGGAAAGGGGAGUGGGUAAGCGGGCUCCUUUCACUUGACUGGUUAGUUAGGAGUGAUCUUUUUUCUACGAUGUUCGAGAUCUUUGUCUCGCAGAGGGUGAAAUGAGAUCUUCUUGGAACAAGGUCAGAGGCGUUGGACGGACCAGUUUCUUCUGAUUCCAAUGAUAGAUGGAUGGUCAGGUCGGUAACAUAUGGAUGGAGGACUUCUACAGGGUCUUCUCGUGCGCUCGACUAGCAAGGUGGUUUUGUAGGCGAACGAAAUAAGUUUUUGGAGGCGAGCGGAGUGAGGCAAUGAAAUUGUUUAGGCGAAAGAAAGGAGAGAACGAGUGGAGUUUCGAGAAUGAGAAUCAUAUAUUUUCUCAUUUCUUUUUCGUAGUAAGAAGACACUAAGACGCACCCACUACACACCACACACUCAGACGACUAGCGUGGUCCUUCCCCCAUCGAAGAGCCACGUAUCCAGGGUUGACCACAUCAUCACUGUUUUAUCAAGGUGUGGCCACGGUCUCAAUUGGGUCAUUGUUUAGUAUGCCCAAGCUUGACAAUAGCUGUGGAUAUUUUGAGUCCCUCAGAACGCAACUCCCUUAUGAGUUGGAAGCCAAGACAAAUGGAUUCCACUUCAUAGGUACCGUUCACCUCACGUGAAGGCUCGCUCAGAACACGUACCAAGCUUUUAUUAGAAAGGAACAGAACAAAGAGGAGUGCUCCACUCCGAAAGAGAAGGAACGGAAAGAGCAGGCGGCAGAGAAAGAGACAAGGAGGAAGAAGGGGGCACUACGGGAAGAGCAUCCAAGACGCGCUAAGGCAAAGGCAUAGAGCUCAAACACAGGCUUAGUAAGCACAGAUUCCCUAGAAAGAAAGAUAAUUCUAGAAAUUAACUACUUCUAGAACGGAACACAUAAGACUAUGUAUACAAUACAAGGAAAGGAAAAAGGUCUCUUAGGGGUACCACAAAGAAAAGAAUCAAAAUAGCUAAAAAGAGUCUGCUUCCUUUAUCAUAUAUAUGAGAUAGUAGAUCACCUUUUUUUUUUGAAGCAAAAAAAAAGGUGAUCUACUGUUGUAGUCUUCUUGACAUAUCAAGUCAAGAGGGCGAGGCUCCUAGCAAUGGGGGGAAAGGGGAGUGGGUAAGCGGGCUCCUUUCACUUGACUGGUUAGUUAGGAGUGAUCUUUUUUCUACGAUGUUCGAGAUCUUUGUCUCGCAGAGGGUGAAAUGAGAUCUUCUUGGAACAAGGUCAGAGGCGUUGGACGGACCAGUUUCUUCUGAUUCCAAUGAUAGAUGGAUGGUCAGGUCGGUAACAUAUGGAUGGAGGACUUCUACAGGGUCUUCUCGUGCGCUCGACUAGCAAGGUGGUUUUGUAGGCGAACGAAAUAAGUUUUUGGAGGCGAGCGGAGUGAGGCAAUGAAAUUGUUUAGGCGAAAGAAAGGAGAGAACGAGUGGAGUUUCGAGAAUGAGAAUCAUAUAUUUUCUCAUUUCUUUUUCGUAGUAAGAAGACACUAAGACGCACCCACUACACACCACACACUAAGACGACUAGCGUGGUCCUUCCCCCAUCGAAG